UUCAAAUGUUCAUAAAUGACCAGCAUGGUCGAAUAAUAAUAAGGCAGAACAGUUGAAACUGGAGCAGCAGCACAGUCAGGUGGAAGUUGAAACUGGAGCAGCAGCAUGGCCAGGUGGACUGGGGACAGCAAGGAGUCAUCAUGUCAGAUAGUCCUGGGGCAUGGUCCUAGGGCUCAGGUCCUCCGAGAGAGAGAAAGAAAGAGAGAAGGAGAGAAUUAGAGAACGCACACUUAGAUUCACACAGGACACCGAAUAGGACAGGAGAAGUACUCCAGAUAUAACA
ensembl:lncRNA